UCAUGGGAUUCAUGAGUAUUUCACACCCUGUCCUCUCGGGAGCAAACUGACCAAGUGCCCAUCUCUGACAAGUAACCUGACUCCCCAAGUUGCCAGCCUUACUACAACCUCUCCAGCAAACAACCUCAUUCCCAGUUUUCCAGUUGCUGAACCACCAUAGCCCUCCUAAGCAGAAAUUCCUGGCUCCUGCCCCCCGUUGCUAAUAGGUUGAAAAGCCCCAACACAACGAGAGGAAAAUGUCAAAAAAGCACAAAAGAAUUGGGAAGAGUUGAAAAGGAAGAGAGUGAUAUUUUGCAGUUUGGAUGACAUCAUGACCAAGGAGGUAAGCCCUUACUCCUGACUACAAAAACCUGGGCUUCUAACUAUUAAAUUAAAAGAAUAAUUUCACUGGCUCAACCAUUGGAGUAGACUGUAGUAGGUGUGAUAUGCCAUCCAAAAUAGUGGUACCAGAUUAAAAGGACACAAACCAUUACACAAUCACUACCAGUCACUCACAGAACCAAAAUAUUUUUACACUCUGUAACUAUGGCAUCAUGAAACUUCAAUAAGUGAAUUCACAAUCAAGUAAAACUUCAGAAGCAGGUAAAACAGAGGAGAAGAGGAAGAACAACUGCAAUGAGAUAAGAAAGAAUAAGAAUUUGGGGAGUUUCAGAGGUGCUUAUGCCCCUGCACAGACUGCUGUGCUUAUGGUAUUGCACGAUUCAGCACACAUAACAUUCACUGAUGUCACUCCUUAUUCAGCUUAAUGCAAUGAGAGUAGGAUCCUGGCUGAGAAUGGAGCCUGGUCAUAUGGCUGCAGAUGGACCGAGUCCCCUGAUUGAAAAGUGGACUGGACCCCCAAUGUUUGCCUCAAGACACUUUCUAGUAGCCCACUGAGGACAUUAGGCCAGACUUCUCAUCAGAGGAGGAUGGAAGGUAAGCCCGUGCUCUUCAGUAGGAAAUGGACUGAGGCUACUACGUGGUCCCUCACAGUCAAGACUGAAAAGAAUUUGGACACCAUUCAGCUGAAGCAUCUCCAAAUGAUGGAAGACAUCAAAAGGUACAGAUUAAAAUCAAAGGAAGAGAUCCAUGUUCUAACUAAACAGGUCCCGCACACUCAGUGGUCCCCCAGUGCUCCCUACAGUGAUAUGGUCAUCUGCUCCAACGGCCUACCAACUACCCUGUGAGAAUCAUCUUUGAUUUUGACCCACUUAACGCAGUCUGGAAAAGAGCAUCUCCCUCUCCUGCCACCCCAGAAGAGCUAAAACACAAUUGGAUGGCAUCAAAAUCUAUAUGUCCCUCACUGGCGUUCUACCUCAUAAAGUGCCAGAUUUGAUUUGUCUCAGGACAGACAUUACAGAGGUACAUAAUAGGUUUGAUGAUUUCUCUGUUGUCCAAUUGAGAGCAUAACAUAAGCUACCGAAGGCCAUCAGAUAGUAAUAACUUCUAGUCAGCACCAAACUGAGCUUGAUUUGAACAGGUGAUUUAGGCCCAGUUCAGGAAAGCAAUUAAGCACAUGCUUAGGUCCCACUGAAGUCACUGAAACUUAAGCCCAGGCUUAAAGUUAAGCAUGUGUAUCACUAUGUGACUGCCUCCUUUAAGAUGGAGUGGGGUCCAGUGCAUCUGUGGCUGAUCAGCUGCCUCCCAAUUGAGCUUAAGAGAAGACACCUGGGCCAUAUAAAGGGGCUGCCUGUGAACAGAGCAGGAGAGAGUCAAGUAAGGCAGUUGAGAUACUUGAGAACAGCCAUGAGAGAAGAGUAGUUUCAGGAGUCCUGAAGGAUAACAGUAACUGUGAGCGGCUUGUGAUGAGUUCUGAGGGAAACUGAUGGGAGUAUAGGCUAGAGCUGGGGAAUGGCUUGAGGGAGCUUGCAGGAAGGCUUGUGUAGAUGCUUUUAAGAAUGAGGGGAAGAACCAGCAUGGUCAGUGUAAGCAUAGCCGAGAAAAUGGGACUGAUUCUGUAGGUUGCAACUCCAGACCAGGGAUAGGACUUACAGGCAAGAAGGCUGGGGGUGUGAUGCUGUAGAGAGUCCUCUUGUGGGAGAUCUGACAUGGGGCUUCAGGAGACAGCUCGUGGGAGAGAAGUGACUCCUGGAACUCUCUGGUAGAUAGGUUGGAGAAUGUGGCCCUGGGACAGAAUAGUUAAUAACUCUUGGGUGGGUGGCCUGAGAAUGGUAACCUUUUAAUGAGAUUGAAGAGCUACUGCAUUGUAACUUUGUUUUACUUUAGUGAUUUGGAAAGAACUGUUUUUACCAUGAGGGAUUUGUGGACUGUGACCAUCUAUGCAAAUAAAAGGGUUUGAAUUUACUGCUGAGACA
ensembl:lncRNA